UACGUAGGGUGCAAGCGUUAAUCGGAAUUACUGGGCGUAAAGCGUGCGCAGGCGGUUGUGUAAGACAGAUGUGAAAUCCCCGGGCUCAACCUGGGAACUGCAUUUGUGACUGCACGGCUGGAGUGCGGCAGAGGGGGAUGGAAUUCCGCGUGUAGCAGUGAAAUGCGUAGAUAUGACGGAGGAACACCGAUGGCGAAGGCAAUCCCCUGGGCCUGCACUGACGCUCAUGCACGAAAGCGUGGGGAGCAAACAGG
rnacentral:rRNA from 1 species